GAUGAACGCUAGCGGCAGGCCUAAUACAUGCAAGCCGAACGGCAAGCUUUGUAGCAAUACGGAGCCUAGAGUGGCGUAAGGGUGCGUAACACGUAUGCAAUCUACCCUCAACAGGAGAAUAGCUCCCCGAAAGGGGAAUUAAUGUUCCAUAGGAUCAUGGUGCGGCAUCGCACAGUGAUUAAACCGCAAGGGGUUGAGGAUGAGCAUGCGCAUGAUUAGUUAGUUGGCGGGGUAACGGCCCACCAAGACGAUGAUCAUUAGGGGAACUGAGAGGUUGACUCCCCACACU
rnacentral:rRNA from 1 species